rnacentral:rRNA from 1 species
GUGGGGAAUCUUGCGCAAUGGGGGAAACCCUGACGCAGCGACGCCGCGUGGAGGAUGAAGGCCUUCGGGUUGUAAACUCCUUUUGCAGGGGAAAAUGGUGAUGGUACCCUGCGAAUAAGCCACGGCUAACUCUGUGCCAGCAGCCGCGGUAAGACAGAGGUGGCGAGCGUUGUUCGGAAUUACUGGGCUUAAAGGGCGAGUAGGCGUCCCGACAAGUCAGAUGUGGAAUCUUUCUGCUUAACGGGAAAAUUGCAUUUGAAACUGUCGGGAUUGAGUCAGUGAGGGGAGGGCGGAAUUCCUGGUGUAGCGGUGAAAUGCGUAGAUAUCAGGAGGAAGGCCUGUGGCGAAGGCGGCCCUCUGGUACUGUACUGACGCUGAGGCGCGAAAGCGUGGGUAGCAAACAGGAUUAGAAACCCUGGUAGUCC